CGCGGCCAAUCAAGGUUAAUGAGGGGAGUGAUACCCGGGCUCCUCCUCUCACUCAGGGCAUGGGAUCCUCAACUUCAUCUUAUCUGAGAGACUGUAUACUGACAGCCGGGGAGAGAGGGCACACAGCACACUGACAGCCAGCACUGGAGAGAGAGAGAGAGAGAGGGCACCCAGCCUGCUCCCUCACUGGGCACCAAACAGGGCAACCUGGCAACCUGCACCCUGACUGGGCAUCACAUAGGGCAACCUGGCAACCUGCUCCCUGACUGGGCACCACACAGGACAACCUGCUUUCUGACCAAACAGGGCAACCUGGCAACCUGCACCCUGACUGGGCAUCACAUAGGGCAACCUGGCAACCUGCUCCCUGACUGGGCACCACACAGGACAACCUGCUUUCUGACUUGGCACCACACAGGGCAACCUGCACAGGGCAUCAUAAUUGAAACAUACUUCUUGGGCUGUGCACUGGAGAGAGAGGGCACCCAGUCUGGGCAAGAUGCACCCUGUACUUGGCUUUGAAGAGUACACCCAGGCUUUGGACUAGAAAGAACUACACCCUGAGCUUGGCAUAGUCUGUGCGUACCCUGGUCCUGGCACUGGUCAGUACACAUCCUGCACCUAUUCUGUGCUGUAUCCCAACCAGUUGUUACAUAACUAUAUAUUGUGUGCCCAGCUAUGGCAGAUACCGUUUCAGGACAUUAUAUAGUGUGAAUCACCAGGAAAUAACAGCGAGAAAUUAUUCUGAACUAUACUGAGGACACCCAAUACCCAUCCUUGUCAUUAUCCACACUGCAUUUUAUUGGAUACUACAGAUACAUUGUAGCUGGGCACCAAGCACAAACAGUUGGCACCACUGUGAGUCCUCUCGAUAAUAUAUUAAAAUAUUUCCUGAGCUGUGUGAAGGCACUGGGCUGGACUUUACUCCAGAGGUAGCUGGCACUAGACAGUGGCUGGCAUCAGAUUAAUACCAGUGGAUUUCACAGAAAGGAUAAACACCUAACUUGUUACUUAACUAGCCACCCCUCUCGCUGGUGGCAUAUACUGAACUGGGUGCAGGUGAGGACACCCACCAUUAACCCCGUACUCCUAGCUGUGGGUAUGCCAUGGACGUUAUAGUUGAAAUGCCCCUGGACUGCAAAAUGGGGGAGCAGGAAGCCCCCCUUAUGUUUUGGGUGUCUGAGUCUGCUGGAGAGGUGAGAAAGUCCAAUAGAGUUUGAUUAAUUAGAACCACUGUUUAAUCUGAUAAUAACUAUCCACGCUUACCCAGGCUUAAUUUAAUAGGGGGAGGAAGCAUUCUGGGUCCCUAGAGUUGAUGUAGAAAGUGGUCGUGGUUUGUUAGGAAACACAAUGAUCUACACUAGUUAGUGGUUUUUAUGUCCCUGAUACGAGUGGGCGGGUGCAGUGUGGGAUCCUCUCUGUGGGGUCUCCAUCCAGCCUGGGAUACAGUGAGCAGGUGGGAUCCUCUUUGUAGGGUCUCCAUCCAGCCUGGGAUACAGCGAGUGGGGUUUCCAUCGAGUCUGGGGUACAGCGAGCACGUGGGAUCCUCUCUGUGGGGUCUCCAUCCAGUCUGGGAUACAGCGAGCGGGUGGGAUCCUCUCUUUGGGGUCUCCAAGUCUGGGAUGCAGCGAGUGGGUGGGAUCCUCUCUGUGGGGUCUCCAUCCAGCCUGGGAUACAGCGAACAGGUGGGAUCCUUUCUGUGGGGUCUCCAGUCUGGGAUACAGAGAGCGUGUGGGAUCCUCUCUGUGGGGUCUAGAUCCAGUCUGGGGUACAGCUAGCGUGUGGAAUCCUCUGUGUGGGGUCUCCAGUCUGGGAUACAGCGAAUGGGUGGGAUCCUCUUUGUGGGGUCUCUAUCCAGUCUGGGAUACAGCGAGCGGGUGGGGUCCUUUCUGUGGGGUCUCCAUCCAGUCUGUUUUACAGACUGGGGUCUCUGUGAGGUCUCCAUCCAGUCUGGGAUACAGCAAGCCAGUCUGGGGUCUGCAUCAAGUCUGGGUUACAGAGAGUGGGUGGGAUCCUCUCUGUGGGUUCUCCAUCCAGCCUAGGAUACAGCUAGCGGGUGGGAUCCUCUCUGUGGGUUCUCCAUCCAGCCUAGGAUACAGCUAGCGGGUGGGAUCCUCUCUGUGAGGUCUCUAUCCAGUCUGGGUUACAGAGAGUGGGUGGGAUCCUCUCUGUGGGUUCUCCAUCCAGCCUAGGAUACAGCUAGCGGGUGGGAUCCUCUCUGUAGGGUCUCCAUCCAGUCUGGGAUACAGCGAGUGGGUGGGAUCCUCUAUGUAGGAUCUCCAUCCAGUCUGGGAUACAGCGAGCGGGUGGGAUCCUCUCUGUAGGGUCUCCAUCCAGUCUGGGAUACAGCGAGCGGGUGGGAUCCUCUCUGUAGGGUCUCCAUCCAGUCUGGGAUACAGCGUGCGGGUGGGAUCCUCUCUGUAGGGUCUCCAUCCAGUCUGGGAUACAGCGUGCAGGUGGGAUCCUCUCUGUAGGGUCUCCAUCCAGUCUGGGUCACAUCGGGCGGGUGGGAUCCUCUCUGUAGGGUCUCCAUCCAGUCUGGGAUACAGUGAGUGGGUGGGAUCCUCUCUGUAGGGUCUCCAUCCAGUCUGGGAUACAGCGUGCGGGUGGGAUCCUCUCUGUAGGGUCUCCAUCCAGUCUGGGAUACAGUGAGUGGGUGGGAUCCUCUCUGUAGGGUCUCCAUCCAGUCUGGGAUACAGCGAGUGGGUGGGAUCCUCUCUGUAGGGUCUCCAUCCAGUCUGGGAUACAGCGAGCGGGUGGAAUCCUCUCUGUGGGGUCUCCAUCCAGCCAGGGAUACAGCAAACUCUGAUUAGUGUUUUCAUAACAAGGUACAGAAAUAGCUCCGGGCUGUGUCUGGUAAAUGGCAGAGAUUGGGCAUCACCCAUGUAAACACAGAUAACCCUUUCACUCUCCGCUCUGACCUUCAGCUUCCAUCUCAUCCACAGCAAAGCAGGGAAGGGGUUAAUUCCGACCUGCCCGGUUGAGUUGGAACCAAGUAAACUUAUUGCAGAAAAACAUUCUUAGAUUUUUAGAAAUUAAUCCUGGCGUUGGACAGAGUGCAGCAUUCAGCCAGGUAAGGGUUAACUAUAAAGGCAAUUCUGGAGCAAUCAGCAUGCACAGUGCAAAAGUUUCCAUGGCAACUGCCCUACUUUUAGAACUUUGUCCCAAAUUUGCUGGUUUACAUAACCUCCAAGGAGUUCAGAAAACUAGAAAAUAACAAAUUUUACCUCUAGGGGAGAAUAAACUCAGUGUUUGAUCUUAUAAAAAGGAUGUAUUUUCUCGUCUGCAUUUCAGUUUAAAACUCAUCUCCUUUUUCCAUGUUCUAGACAGGCUCCAAGUCGCACACAGUAGCAGGUGCGCAGUAUGUUACUGUGAGAAUUCCAGCCUGGGAUUUCCAUUCACAGAUCAGCCAUCAUUUUUAUUUAUCACAUGCUGUCAGACUAACAUAAACUUCCCGGCCUGUCUGUCAUAAUUAACGUUAAUUUAGGAACUGGCCGGACAUAUCUGUCAUACUUGGUGGAAUAAAAAUUAACUCCUAUCCCGACAAAUCUAUUUGUAAACCCCAACAUAUUGUGCAGCGCAGUACUAGGGGGCACAACGAGUACAAUUUAAUGCUAAGAACCAAUUUAAAGAUAAUCUGGCCAAGCAUGGUGAGUGUAGUAAUCCAAAAUCUGAAAUGUAAUGUUUCUGGAAGGUAAGAGCUAUCGAGGUGUGUUGCUAGCAGGUAAUAAAUCCUAUUUCUACAAAUUAUCUAUAUCUCUAUAAAUUAUUAUGAUGGCUAUGGUCACUGUAGGGUCAGAAGGUGGAGGAGAGUGGUACCUACCCAAUGGGAGUGCAAUUGAACAUGGCAGACAGCAAGUGCGAGGAAUUGAAGGGUUCACUCAUAUUCCUCCUAUAGACGUGUGUUUUUAGGGAUUUAAGGACUGGAGAGUGUGGAAGGUCUUGUGGGAACAGGUAUGUUAGAAUGAGGCGACUGUUGUGAAGAUGUAAGUAGGCACCCAACAAGAAUUGGCGGUAGUUUAAAGUUUUGAUUGUGAGAACUGGGAUUUUAUUUUAUUAAUCCACUGUUUUAUUUUAUAAUGCAACACAUUUAAUAAUAUUCAAUUGUACAAUCUCAGAUACUUCCUAGGUAGAUGAUAGUUACGUGUAUAAUACGUUAAUAGUGAAUAUUAAUUAAAGGGAAUCUGUCACUUCCCUUCAUUUAAAGGGACACUAUUGUCACCCAGACCACUUCAGCUCAAUGAAGUGGUUUGGGUGCCAGAUCCCUCAGGUUUUAACUCUUCAGAUGUAAACAUAGCAGGUUCAGAGAAACUGCUAUGUUUGCAUUUGGGGUUAAGCCAGCCUGUCUUCCGGACAGCCACUAGUGGUGCAUCUGCGACGCUGGAGGCAUAUUAUGCCUCGAUCGCGCAGAGCGUCCAUAGGAAAUCAUUGCGAAAUGCUUUCCUAUGGACACUUUGAAUGCGCACGUGGCACUUGCCGCGCAUGCGCAUUUGACUCCGCUGAUGUCGGAAGGGGGAGAAGAGGUCACCAGUGCCGAGGGAGCCCGGCGAUGGAUUAAGGUAUGCUGCUGAAGGGGUUUUAACCCUGAGGGUGGGGGCACCCUCAGGGCACUAUUGUGCCAGGAAAACCGCUUAGUUUUCCUGACACUAUAGUGAUCCUUUAAUAUUAUGUUUUCUUAUCCCCUAUAGUCAUAUUUCAUGUGUUUUCAAAUCUGUAAUCUUUACAUUUGAAUGUAGCAAUCCAAAUCGGUGUAUUUACCUCUGUCCUGUAACUCUACACCUUCAUCUUUGCUCUGUCAAUCCCUUUUGUUAUAAAUGUUGCCAUUUUCUGCCAUUGAACACAGUAAAUGGAAAUGGAUACACAGAAAAAAUUAUGUUUCUGUUCUCCUCCUCAUUUGCAUGAUGUGCCCUGGCUGUGCCUGGACUGGGCUGGAUGGUCACGUAUUUCAAGUUGUUCGAGCAUAACAUGAUAAAAUGUUUCUAGAGAAGAGAAGGAUCCUCUUUAAAGGAUUAUUCUAAGCACCAGAAUUACUAUAGCCCGCUGUGUUCAUUAUGAUGGUAGGCGUGUCCUGAAACGUUUCCCUGGUGAAGGGUCAAACCAUUUUGGAAUGGACAUCCCUGGUGGCAUGUGUCCGGUGUCUGCAGAGCGGCAGAAGCCGGAUACCGAUCCCAUCGCCCAUUCAUUGGUCGAGUCUAUGAGCUGACCACUGUCAGCCAAUGAAUGACAUUCUGUAAUUAGAAAUAUGCCCAAAAUUGAUGGUUGUGAAGGGAUUGACAAACACGUUAUACGCAGUGUCACAAGUGGUAGAAAGAUUUAGACCAAUAUGCAGAAAGAUAUGGCCACCGGAUUGCGUUUUGUUAUAGUAAGUGUCGCUACAGGUUGGAGCAGCUUUAGUCGUGUUUACAAAACAGAAAACAGAUUGAAGAGGAAAGAGUAAAGGCUUGGAACUGGGGGGUGCACCUCAGCCACUCGGGGCGUUUAAAGGUGAAAAGAGGUGCAUGUAUUCCACAUAUUUACCAAGAAGCCGGCUACAAAGUCAUUAUCGGAAUAAGAGCUCUCACUCUUAGACACCACAUAAAACAGUUGUCAUGUAUGGUGAACGCUCAUAAGUAGGAGUUGGGAGAAAGAUUUGUUAAAGAUGAAGUGCAUGUUUUAAAGAAUGUAAAGAAAAUACCAGAAAAGAGAGACAUUGAAGGUGGAACAGCAGUCAAUGAGAGGCUGAGCAACAUGUGAGGUUAGGUUAUGGAUGACUGGGUACAUCAAUAUGGAAAGAGAGCAGGCGACGCAUCCUCGUAUUCAUUGAAUGGGUCGAAAACAAGAACCAGUGGUGGAUGAGAGAGGGGGAUUUCUUCUUGUUGACUACAGGGUGAUGUGGAGAGUAGAAGAUACUGCAUAGGAGUUUGGGUUUGUGAGAAAAGGCUCUGUUGAGAGAAGCAAAGCUCGAAAAAAUAAUGUUUUACUCCACCAUACGUCCUUUGACAUACAUACCAAGGUAACCAUAUGAGAAUCAUGGGUGAUCCGUACAAUAAGAAGAAAGCCAUAUCUGAUAAAUAAAUGCAAUUCACUCAAGUUACAAACAGUGACGUUUCAGAGGGCUUAGCAGUUUGCCAGGUUUAAAUGAUAGGUAGGAGGUUAGGAGGUUUUAUUAAAUAGCAUCCCAUUCCUUGUUUUCUGUUUUGACCUGAUGUAGUAGCUGAACUCUUGUUGGCCCCCAGCUUCUGAGGAUGCCAGUCCUGCAUUUUGGCAGAUAGGGAGUAAUAACAGGGGGUAUUAAUGAAUAGAAAAUAAAGGAAGCCACAUGUUUAAUCAUGGAUUCUAGGACUUAAUACAUCUGAGAAUGGGGGACACAUGAUAAAUCAGGGGAUGAAUAUUCGUUGAGACAGUAAAAGCUUUACUAUGGUAAAGGAGAGAUGGCCUAACGCGUUUAAGCUGUCCCACAGCAGAACAAUGACAGCGACAAUUUCUUACAAAUCGUUUGUCACAUUGUCCUCUCUGGGAAACUAGAAAUAAACGAGCCCUUAUUUACAAUUAAAAUAAACACUUUCUGUUACUGGCUAUUCCGCUACAAAAUAUUAUUUUAAUCGUAAAAAUUCCAAGAUGAAAAUGGUUUCUUUCUUCCUCUUUUAUUUUUUAUUUUCACUAAACGAUCCGGAUAUUUUAACUCCUUACGGACCAGUUGCAUUUUUAUUGAUGACACAACCCGGUCCCUAAAGACAUGAUUUGAGCAUGAUACAAAAUAUCUCAAUAUAUUAUUUUAAGUGAUAUAAAAUAAGGUGCGUAGGUGCUUCCAUAUGAAUAGAAUAACAAAGGGGUAUCUAAGGUGUAUCCCCUAAUCACCUUUCACACCCCAAGGGAAAUGCACACAGGUAUACUUAAGUAUAUGUAAAAAUUCAGACAGAUCAGAUCUGAAAAAUAUAAGAACAAUAAUACAUAGUGCUUUCUGUUUACAUAUAAAACCAUAUACAAAACACCAGAGGAAUAACCCUCACACAGUAGAGAGCCAUACCAGGUUCUAUACAGAAGGCACCAGGGUGCCUAUACAAUCUAUAGUGUGUGCUCCUCGCAGAGCUGGUUCCAAGAGAAGGAGACGGACUUUCAAGUAGGUAGCAAGGCUUUAUUCAAGUAAAAUAUGUAGAGACAAAUUGCGUAGUGUAAAAGGAAAUAUAUAAAACCACUCAAUAUCAAACAAAAAAUAAUACAGAAUAUAUAUAGUCCCAAAGUGCAAAAAUGAGGCAGCAUACGCGUUUCGACUCUCCAAGAGUCUUCUUCAGUGCUGACUUGCCUCCUCGUGCCCAGCUGAUACCUUCCGGUACUGAUGGGAUUCGGAACACCUGAGUUCCGGGUUGAAGUCAUAUCCAGUAGGAUGUACUCCGUCAUCAGUAAGCCGGGGUCAUAGGGGAAGCCGACCUGUAUUUUAAGUACUUUUGUGAGUGCAAUAAUUACCAAUAUCCACUUUUUGGUGUCAUACAGACCAUAAUGUAGUAUAAACAGUUCAAUAUAUAUACACAUAUAUUAGUGUGAAUAUUCAACUCACAUAUUUCUGAGCCACAUAUUGUUGGCUCAGACUUUUAGGGCUUCUGUUUAGAUAUCCUUAUUGGUUUCUGAAAUUUUUUUGCCCAAAUGGUACACUCUCAGAAUUUUCUCAGUUGUUUGUAUGAAGAACAAAGAGCAGCAAACUAAAUGGUAACUACCUGCCAAAAGUGGUGCAAGGAAGGACAACCAGUGAACCGGCGUCAGGAUCAAGGACGGCCAAGACUCGUUGAUUAACGUGAUGAGCGAAUGCUAGCCUGUCUGGUCCGAUCACACAGAAGAGCUACUGUAGCUCAAAUUGCUGAAAAACUUAAAGGUACACUAUAGUGUUAGAAACAAACAUGUAUUCCAAAAACUAUAGUUACUUUUUAAUACUUAGAUUCCUGGCCUCCCUCCAAGUGCAUUAAAAGGUGAGCUUUACUUACCUUUUCUCCAUCGCUGCACUGGCCCUGCCUCCAUGAGAUCAUCAAUCUUGAUAAUCUCAGCCAGUUUAAUCCUUUUUUAUAGAAAGGUAUUGAGCAGACCAGUCAUAGUGCCCAUGAUGACCCCUGUUCACAACGUAAAUGUUUUCAAUGGAGAUGUAGUGCUUCUGGUGACUAUAGUGUCCCAUGAUAGAAAAGUGUCAGAACACACAAUACAUCGCAGUUUGCUACAUAUGGUCAGAGAGCCCAUGGUUACCCCUGUACAUACCUGUAAGUGCCUUCAAUGUGGAUGUGAGAGUCAGUACUGGACCAUGGAGCAAUGGAAGAAGGUUGCCUGGCCUAAUGAAUUAUGUUUUCUUUUAGAUCAGGAGGUUGGCAGAGUGCAUGUGAGUCCUUUACCUGGGGAAGAGAUGGCAGCAGGAAGCACUAUAGGAAGAGGGCAGGCUGGUGGAGGCGGUGUUAUGCUCUGGGCAAUGUUCUGCUGGGAAACCUUGGAUCCUGGCAUUCAUGUUACUUUGACACGUACCUCAUACAUAGAGAUUGUUGCAGACCAUGUACACCACUUCAUGGCAAUGGUGUUCCCUGAUGGCAGUGUCCUAUUUCAGCAGGAUAAUGCACCGUGCCGCACUGCAAAAAGUGUUCAGGAAUGGUUUGAGGAACAUGACAAAGAGUUCAAGGUGUUCAAUUUUCCUCCAAAUUCCUCAUAUCUCAAUCCGAUCCGAUCCACUAAACACCAACAAUUGACAAACAGGACUAUACAUAGGACACGAGGUCAUGCGUUUAGACUGGGAAAAAGAAGACUUAGUCUAAAUUAAAGGAAUGGUUUUUUUUACCGUAAGAACAAUAAGGAUGUGGAAUUCUCUACCUGAAGAAUUAGUUUUAUCAGAGCCCGUACAGAUGCUUAAACAAGAAAUAGAUGCAUACUUGCGAAAACAUAAUAUUCAAUUAUAUAUUUUUUUCAGCUGUAGGGUAAUAGCUUAUUGAUCCAAGGAAUAAUCUGACUGCCAUUCUGGGGUCAAGAGGGAAUUUUUUCCUAGUUUGUUGCAAAAUUGGAAGUGCUUCAAACGUUAUUUUGGGGGUUUUUGCCUUCUUUUGGAUCAACAGCAAAAAACAAAUGCAAGGAAGGUUGAACUUGAUAGACACAUGUCUCUUAUCAGCCGAUGUAACUAUGUAAUCUCUCAAUUUGCAGGAUCUGUCUUGAUGCCAGAUACCAUAGGACAUGUUCAGUGAUCUUGGGGAGUCCAUGACUUGACACAUCAAAACUGUUUAGGCAGUUUAAUGAGGACCUACACAAUAUUAGGCAGAUGGUUUUAAUGUUGUGGCUGAUCAAUGUGUGGGCAUGUGUGUGUGUGUAUAUAAUAGACCCUCUUUGAAUUCUAUGGUUAUAUAUAUCAGGACAUAAUAACAAUUGUCUGAUCCUUUGGUAAAUACGACCUCAGAUGAACAACAACUCAUGUAUUUAGAUGUAUUUAUAUAUUUUAGAAAAAUAGAGCCAAAAUGGGUGUGAGAAACCAAGUACACCUUGUUAUUUGUCAGGAUCGUGACAGGGAUCCAACUCGCAGAAUGCAGACAGGACAAGGUACGUAUACCGGACCUUAGAAUGGCCGGACUAACGUGUAGAGGAGACAAAGAAUGGUCAAAAGACAAGCCGAGGUCUAGGGAACUGGAGGACAGGUAAGCGAGAGACAAGCCGGGUCAAAGGGUAGGAGAAGGUAGCAACAACGAUGAUAGAAAGCCAAGUCAAAACCAAAUAAUCACAAGGAACCAAAAGCACUGAGUGACCAGCCAAGCUAGAACCAUGACAGGGCAAUGAGUUAUUGCAAAUGAUUCCUUUUUAUACCUUGGCUCCUUAAUUGGUGACCACGCCUCCAGAUUAGUGGUUUCUGGCAAUCCGUGACGUCAAUGACGUCAUGACAUCGGCUAUUGGGCGUCGCUUCAUAAAAGGGGGCGGAGCUAUCGCGCCGGCGUGUAAACAGCCGAAAAUGCAGAAAUGACCGGGAGUACAAGCCCCCAUGUGGGGGACCAUGUCCUGAUGCCUGACCUCCUCUGAGGUGGAUAUUACAGGUACCAUGACAUUAUUAAAUCACUUGUAGAACCUUCUUUAGCAGCUAUAACUUGAAGUAUUUGUUUUCUAUCUGACUUGAUUAGUCUCCCACAUCAUUGUGGAGUAAUUUUGACCUACUCUUCUUUACAACGUUGCUUCAGUUCAUUGAGGUUUGCUGGUAUUUGUUUAUGCACAGCUCGCUUAAUGUCCCGCCACAACAUUCCAAUCAGGUUGAGGUCUGGACUCUGACUGGGCCAUUGCAACACCUUGCUUCUUUUAUUUUUUACCAGUUCUGUUGUAGAUUUGCUGGAGUCAUUGUGAUUAUUCUCCUGUUGCAUGACCCAAUUUUGGCCAAGCCUUAGCUGUCGGACAGAUGGCAUCACAUUUGACUCAAGUAUACUUUGGUAUGCAGAAGAGUUCAUGGUUGAUGUAAUAACUGCAAGGUUCCCAGGUCCUGUGGCUGCAAAGAAGCCCAAAUCAUCAUGCCUCCACCACUGUGUUUGACGAUUAAUAUGAGAUGUUUGUGCUGAUAUGCUGUUUAGUUUUUGCCAAAUGUGGCGCUGUGCAUUAUGGCCAAACAUCUCCACUUUGGUUUCGUCUAUCCAAGGACAUUAUUAUAGAAGUCUUGUGAUUUGUUCAGAUGCAACUUUGUAAACCUAAGCCGUGCUGCCAUGUGUUUUUAGCGAGAAGAGGUUUUCUCCUGGUAACCCUUCCAAACAAACCAUACUUGUUCAGUCUUUUUCUAAUUGUGCUGUCAUGACCUUUGCUUCUCUAAGAUCACUGCUGAUAUCGUUCCUCCUUGGCUCCUUGGUGGUAACACACCUGAAUGCUCCAGACCAGCAAACUGCUAAAGCUUGGGCUUUUAUAGAGGUGGUCACACUUGCUGAUGAUCAAUUAAUAAAUGGUAUUUGAUUUGCAGCAACUGUCUGCUACUUAGCCUCUUAAUUCCUAUCGAAGACGUAAGGGUGUACUUAGUUUUCACACAUGGCUUCUCCAUUUUGGCUUUAUUUAUGUUAAAUCACAACACGUAAUAAUGUGUUGUUCAUCGGAGGUUGUAUUUAUCUUAUUUGAAGAUCUGCUAAGGAACAGUUGAUUGCUAUUAUGUCCUGAUAUGAAAAACGUGUGGUGUGUUACUGCUCUGUGUGAUGUAUUGUUGCCCCAUGUGGUGAGUUAUUGCUCUGUGUGAUGUAUUGUUGCCCCAUGUGGUGUGUUAUUGCUCUGUGUGGCCAGUUUUGUCCUGUAUGAUGCAGAAUUUGUUAUUGAUAGACCUGGACCAGACUUUGAUGUUUGUCCUGAAGGCCAGUAAUGCCGUGACAAUGACUCUAUUAAUAUGUAUUGGUCAUUAGCAUUCCGGACUCUGCAGAUAACGGAUUGUCUCAUUCUGUGGAUAGUUCUGCCCAUUGUAGGACUAAGAAUGGGGUGACACGUACAGAAUUCAGAGCAGGAUUCACUGUGUCUGACUCCUGUCUUUUUAUAACAUUAAACUAGACUGCUGCAUUGAUUUAUUUUUCCAUUCUGGGAAACCCUGAAUGUCAUCAAUCAUCUGCUUGUAUGUAUCAAAUGGACAAUGUCCUUGUCACGGAGCAGGGACUUUGCUGUGAAACUUGUGUGGUCAAUUUAGUUAAGGUGGUCACUGGAGUAGAUAAGCUAAAAAACAUUAUCUUUAAUUAGAAAUGCCACUUACUCAGAUUUCUAACUGGCAGUAAUUAAACGAUGGAGAAAUUAGAAGUAAUGGUUGGUUAUCUAGAUCUCUUGUCAUAUUCUGUAAACCAACAUCAAAAUAAUUAAGGCCUCAAUUUGACCCCUGUGCUUCACUAAGUCUGCCUUAAUCAGGUAUUUGUGGGCCACGUUUCUACACAAGGCUAAUCAUUGCUGGGGUCCAUGAGGUAUCCUAUCACACACUGCAUGAGCAUUCGUAAGGUCUCUAUGCGAAUUAAACAUUUUUGGGACAUUGUCUCGCUUCGUUUUGCUCUCUGCAUGGCUAUAUGGAGAAGGCUCUCAGCUGAUCACUGUGAACCCAUUGAGAGACAUUUUUAUUAUUAUUAUUAUUGGCAUUAUAAAGCAUCAUUUAUUCCAUAGUGCUUAACAUGUACUGUUAUUUUUUCAGCUCUAAUACUGUAUUAAAGGCAAGAAGACUCCUGGACAGUAAGACAGGAUGCUCCCGCUAACUUCAAUGAGUUUUAGUUGUUAUGGUAAAGGGACUGCUAAAACAUUACUAAGUUAAUGUAGGUUUCACGCGUUGCCUUCCAGUCUGUAUUAGUUGAUGUCCAUGUGCAGUGAGGGGGAAAAAAAAGUAUUUGAUCCCCUGCUGAUUUUGAACAUUUGCCCACUGUCAAAGAAAUGAUCAGUCUAUAAUUUAAUGGUAGGUGUAUUUUAACAGUGAGAGACAGAAUAACAACAACAAAAGAAUCCAGAAAAACGCAUGUCAAAAAGUUAUAAAUUGAUUUGCAUGUCAAUGAGUGAAAUAAGUAUUUGAUCCUCUAUCAAUCAGCAAGAUUUCCGGCUCCCAGGUGUUUUUUAUACAGGUAAUGAGCGGAGAUAAAAAGCACUUUCCAAAUCUCAGCUUGUUACCUGUAUAAAAGACACCUGUCUCCAAAAGCAAUCAAUCAGAUUCCAAAAGCAAUCAAUCAGAUUCCAAACUCGCCAAGACCAAAGAACUGUCCAAGGAUGUCAGGGACAAGAUUGAGAAGUGCUCAUGCCAUUGUACAGAACACUGGUGAGACCUCACUUGGAGUAUUGUACGCAGUACUGGAGACCGUAUCUUCAGAAGGAUAUUGAUACCUUAGAGAGGGUUCAGAGAAGGGCUACUAAACUGGUUUAUGGAUUGCGGGAUAAAACUUACCAGGAAAGGUUAAAGGGUCUUAACAUGUAUAGCUUGGAGGAAAGACGAGACAGGGGGAAUAUGAUAGAAACAUUUAAAUACAUAAAGGGAAUCAACACAGUAAAGGAGGAGACUAUAUUUAAAAGAAGGAGAACUACCACAACAAGAGGACAUAGUCUUAAAUUAGAGGGACAAAGGUUUAAAAAUAAUAUCAGGAAGUAUUACUUUACUGAGAUGGUAGUGGAUGCAUGGAAUAGCCUUCCAGCUGAAGUGGUAGAGGUUAACACAGUGAGGGAGUUUAAGCUUACGUGGGAUAGACAUAAGGCUAUCCUAACUGUAAGAUAAGACCAGGGACUAAUUAAAAGUAUUUUGAAAUAUUGGGCUAGAUGGGCCGAAUGGUUCUUAUCUGCCGUCACGUUCUAUUGUAGAUCUACACAAGGCUGGAAUUGGCUACAAGACCAUCGCCAAGCAGCUUGGUGAGAAGGUGACAACAGUUGGUGCGAUUAUUCGCAAAUGGAAGAAACACAAAAUAACUGUUAGUCUCCCUCAGUCUGGUGCUCCAUACAAGAUCUCACCUCAUGGAGUUUCAAUGAUCAUGAGAACGGUAAGGAAUCAGCCCAGAACAACACGGGAGGAUCUUGUUAAUGAUCUCAAGGCAGCUGGGACCAUAGUCACCAAGAAAACAAUUGGUAACACACUAUGCCGUGAAGGACUGAAAUCCUGCUGCGCCCGCCAGAUACCCCUGCUUAAGAAAGUACAUGUACAGGCCCAUCUGAUGUUUGCCAAUUAACAUCUGAAUGAGUCAGAGGAGAACUGGGUGAAAGUGUUGUGGUCAGAUGAGACCAAAAUCUUUGGCAUCAACUCAACUCGCUGUGUUUAUAGGAGCAGGAAUGCUGCCUAUGACCGCAAGAACACCACCCCCACCGGAAACAUUAUGCUUUGGGGGUGUUUUUCUGCUAAGGGGACAGAAUAACUGCACUGCAUCAAAGGGACUAUGGACGGGGCCAUGUACCAUGAAAUCUUGGGUGAGAACCUCCUUCCCUCAGCCAGGGUAUUGAUGGGUCAUGGUUGGGUAUUCCAGCAUGACAAUGACCCAAAACACACAGCCAAGGCAACAAAGGAGUGGCUCAAGAAGAAGCACAUUAAGGUCCUGAAAUGGCCUAACCAGUCUCCAGACCUUAAUCCCAAAGAAAAUCUGUGGAGGGAGCUGAAGGUUCGAGUUGCUAAACAUCAGCAUCGAAACCUUAAUGACUUGGAGAGGAUCUGCAAAGAGGAGUGGGACAAAAUCCCUCCAGAGAUGUGUGCAAACCUGGUGGCCAACUACAAGAUUCGUCUGACCUCUGUGAUUACAAACAAGGGUUUUGCCACCAAGUACUAAGUUGAAGGGGUGAAAUACUUAUUUCAUUCAUUGACAUGCAAAUCAAUUCAUAACUUUUUUGACAUUUUUUUUGUUUUGUUAUUCUGUCUCUAACUGUUAAAAUGCACCUACCAUUAAAAUUAUAGACUGAUCAUUUCUUUGUCAGUGGGCAGGGGAUCAAAUACUUUUUUCCCUAACUGUAUGAUCCAGUCUUCGUGAUGUCCAUCACUUGGAGCCCAGAUCACAUCUCUCUUAUACUUCCUAGUCUGUCACUGACUUUGCCCUAAUUCUGGAAAGAUAAAAACUGAACCCUGUGAAACAUGCUUCACUACUCUGUGUGACAUUAGAUGGAUUAAUAAUGUCCCCAACUUUAUCUAAUCCUGGUCCUGUAUAAUGAUGGACAUCCCAAAUACUGUAUCACCUCAUAGUCUCAUUUUCAGUAUUUUGCCCCCUGUCUACCAGCCUGCUCCCCAGAAUAGAAAAAGAGGAAUUGGGGGGUGUAGCGGACCCUGGGUAACCCGGCUGGUUACCUCCACUAUUUAUCAAUUAACAGACCCAUUUCCCUCCCUGUAACUGGACGACACACAGUUCCAGGGGGUACAACAACAACUUUAUUGGCCACAUGCGGCUUUAUACUUUCCCCAUGCAAGGGGUGGGACACACAUGAAGUCAAUGUCCCCUCCCAGGUCGGGGUUCGUAUAAUAGAACCGGAACCCCAGUCCCUUUGUCCCCUGUUCCCGCCACUCAGUGUCCCAGGUCUGGGGGGGGGUUGUAGCGCGGGAAACCUCCCGCCUCUUUACCUCCCAACCACAGAGAGCCAGCCAACCUCCAUCAUUGUCCCCACAGGAUGUCCCCACCAAUCUCAGGGACCCCCAAUCUUCAUUCGCGGGGUACCUGUGUGAAGCCCGGCAAGGGAAGUGUCUCUUUCAGGAUGUGAAUGCUCCCCAUGGCCGGUUUAUGAACGGCGUCCACCCAGAGCAGCACUCUUUAAUUACUUCCCUUGCAGUUUCACACUAUGUUGCAAGUUGCCAAUGUUCCAGUUGAUUGGUGUGAACAUUCUAAUGGGUGCCGGGGAGGUCCUCAUUUGGGAACCGAACAAGGUGGGAAGCAGUCCGCGAAUGCUCCCCCUGGAUGGCAUUCGUCUAAUGAAUGGGUUGCCACCCAGGGUCGGCACCCGCCGAUGCUUCACUUGUGGUUUUGAGUAGGAAGUAGGAAGUAGGAGUAGGAAGUUCUACAAAACACAGGGUCAAGCUAGGGGAAACACACGAAAGGGAUGUCAGUACAGCAACACACAAUUUAACGGCGGGGGCACAGGGUACAGGGGGCACACCUGGAACAAACAUUUCUCAGCAGUUGUAUUGAUGGCUCGGGGGUUAAAAUGUCUGUCAGGCUGUCCUUGCAGGAGAAAUUUCCUAUAUCCAAUAUAAGCUAACCCUGUAGACUGAUUCCCCAAGAUUUAGAGUUUAUUAAACACGGCCCUGGACACCCUUGCUUUUGCUUUUUCCUACUGAUGGCACGCAGCAUUAAGACGUCAUAAAUUUGUGUCCUUGUCAUCAGUCUUACAGCUAAAAUUAUCACAAGGGUGCCAUACCACCAAUAUGUCAAACUGACAAAGAGGGACACUGAAGGUGUGGCCAUGGGCGGGGCUGUUUUGAGUGUGAUUUGGGGUGUGGCCAUAGGCAGGGAUGUUCUAAGUGUGAGUGGGGUUGAGGCCCGUGGCCAGCGGUUUGGGGGUAGUUCUGAAUGUGAGUGGGUGUGUGGCUGUUAUGAGAAAUUUUAGGCGACUUUCUAAUAACAAUUUCUUGAACUAAAAUGUAAUUUAGAAGAAGAGCAAUAUAUCUUAUUUCCAUAGACUAAUUUCUAAACACACAAUACACAUUACUGAGAGUAUUAUUACUGUGAAGCUCUGUUAUACAUUCAGACACAUUAUUGGGAGUAUUAUUGCUGUGGGGCUCUGUUAUACACUCACAUUACUGGAAGUAUUAUUGCUGUGGGCCUCUGUUAUACACUCAGACACAUUACUGGGAGUAUUAUUACUGUGGAGCUCUGUUAUACACUCAGACACAUUACUGAGAGUAUUAUUGCUGUGGAGCUCUGUUAUACAAUCAGACACAUUACUGGGAGUAUUAUUGCUGUGGGGCUCUGUUAUACACUCAGACACAUUACUGUGAGUAUUAUUGCUGUGGAGCUCUGUUAUACACUCAGACACAUUACUGAGAGUAUUAUUACUAUGGAGCUCUGUUAUACACACAGACACAUUACUGAGAGUAUUAUUGCUGUGGAGCUCUGUUAUACACUCAGACACAUUACUGGGAGUAUUAUUGCUGUGGAGCUCUGUUAUACACUCAGACACAUUACUGGGAGUAUUAUUGCUGUGGAGGUCUGUUAUACACUCAGACACAUUACUGAGAGUAUUAUUGCUGUGGAGCUCUGUUAUACACUCAGACACAUUACUGGGAGUAUUAUUGCUGUGGAGCUCUGUUACACCUCUGUUACACACUCAGACAUACCAUUAAUAUGGAGCUCCUAGAAAAGAGGGAGAUUAGGGUAAAAAAGAAAACCAUGGAUUUGUGCCUGGUGUAGGGACUGUAUCUCCUAAGUAGGGACACUUAAGAGGUAGUGGUGUGAUUUUUACAAGUCACUACGAGAAACCAAUCUCGUUUGUAUUGUAUUGAUGUCCCUUCACACUAACUUUAUAUCAUUUUUCUGUUUUGUAGCAGUAACGGAAUAACGUGCAUUUAGUAAUCUCGUCAACACUGUGUCAGCUUUUUACAGAAAUCGUUUUAAAUACUUUGCGGGAUAAUGGGCGCAUGUCACAUUUAUUUAACAUCACUUGUAAUAAGGUGAUAAUCUGCGGUUUGACGGCCGGCUUGCUGCCCACUCUGGAACUUGUUUUAGGCUGAGGAACUGUUCCCCCCCAGGGAUUUAAUAGCUUGCUGCAGCCUCUAUUAAUAGAAUUAUAAACAAGUUUCAAACAUGGUUAUUCUGGCAUUAAAGCAUCUCAGAGCGUGAUCAAUGAAAUAUUGCCUAACGAUAAAGGUAAUUGAUUAGAGUAAUAAAUCAAAUUGGAAAUCUAGCAUUUACACAGUAAUCACAUGUGGCAGCCGGUGCAGACAAAACAAAAUGUGGCUAAUUAUGAUAUUUUCGCCUCCAGCAUUUCAAUUUGUCCCUUUUAAGGAUUUCAUCCAGUCGAGGGAUGUUUUGUCUGGCAGCUGUCAGCAUUGGCAAGCUAUUUCUCCUCACCUUAUUACAAGUGAUGUUAAAUAUUAAAUAAAUAUGUCAUGCGCCCAUUAUACUGAAAUUGAUACAUCGACAGGCCUACAAAAAUACAGAUUUGGCUUGUUCUUGGCAAUCAGGGCAGUAUAGAGAACCGGUCUAUGGAGUGAGGGUACCAAUUCCGAACAUGUUUGCUUGUUCUAAGUACUGUCUCACCUACACAAUAAAUGGGGGAUGGAAUUCUGGUCAGUAUUUUUCCACUGAGGUGUAAUUUUCUGUUAAAUUUGGAUUCUAUAAUAUUGCAUAACAUGAUAACCACCGUUAUAGCUGUGUACAUAUAAUCAGGGUCCCCAGAUAGGUGACUGCGCCAGACUUACCACCCCCGAUAUCAUGUACUAUGUGAUCUAUGCUUGCACCGUAGGUGUGGGUAGCACACUGCAGCUUAAUACAGAGUAGAUUUACAUCAUUAUUGAAGAGGAAAGGACACUAAUUCAGUUUUAGCACAACUGAAAGCUAGCUACGGCUGUGCCAAAAUGAUUUUAAAAUUCUCUAUACAGUAUGUCAUUUCCAUUUAUAUGCAUUGACUGGCAAAGCCCAGCAGUUCUGGACGCCUGACGCUGCAUCACAAUUGUAACAUUGCAGAAGUUUUCCUUUUCCCCCACAGUCAGGGACAGAUUAAAGGGACACUAUAGUCACCUGAACAACUUUAGCUUAAUGAAGCAGUUUUGGUGUAUAGAACAUGCCCCUGCAGCCUCACUGCUCAAUCCUCUGCCAUUUAGGAGUUAAAUCCCUUUGUUUAUGAACCCUAGUCACACCUCCCUGCAUGUGACUUGCACAGCCUUCCAUAAAUACUUCCUGUAAAGAGAGCCCUAUUUAGGCUUUCUUUAUUGCAAGUUCUGUUUAAUUAAGAUUUUCUUAUCCCCUGCUAUGUUAAUAGCUGGCUAGACCCUGCAAGAGCCUCCUGUAUGUGAUUAAAGUUCAAUUUAGAGAUUGAGAUACAAUUAUUUAAGGUAAAUUACAUCUGUUUGAAAGUGAAACCAGUUUUUUUUUUUCAUGCAGGCUGUGUCAAUCAUAGCCAGGGGAGGUGUGACUAGGGCUGCAUAAACAGAAACAAAGUGAUUUAACUCCUAAAUGACAGUGAAUUGAGCAGUGAAAUUGCAGGGGAAUGAUCUAUACACUAAAACUGCUUCAUUUAGCUUUAAGUAAUUUAGGUGACUAUAGUGUUCCUUUUAACAUAGGGGCUGAUGGAGCUGCUGCUCCAGGCCCAAGUCCAUGGAAUAGGCCCAUUUAAAAAAAAUUAUUUACCACACUACUUUUAGGGUUGCCAGAUAUUUCUCAGAAGUAUUUCUCAGAUAUUUGAGGCUGCCUAGCCGGUGCCGGUAUUGCAGUAAUACCGGCAAUACAAAUGUCAGUCUCAGUAUAAACAGAGAUUAUUUUGGAAUUAUUCUGGAAUAGCGCCGGCCAGGGGUCGCUGUGUGAGUGGAGAGAGGCAGGGAUAAGAAGUUACAGCAUCUCCCUCCCUGCCCUCACUACUCACUGAUCUGAGGGGAAGCAGCUCUGCACAGAGAGUCCAGACAGCAGCUCCCAGUCUACAGAGACAGCCUACAGCUCAGGUAAGUGAGGGGUGGGGGGGGAAGGCGGCAGGGAGACACAGACACUAGGGGACACUGGCAGACAUAGGGACACUGUGACACUAGGGGACAAUGUGACACUCGGGGAAACUGGGACACUAGGGGGCACUGGGAGACCUGGGGACACAGACACUAGGGGAAACUAUGAUGGGGACGGUGAGAGACAUGGGGACACUGAGACACUGGGGGACACAGGGAGACAUGGGGACACUGGGCAACUUUGAGACCUGGGAGACAUGGGGCACUCCCAGUGUCCCCAUGUCUCCCAGCCAGUGUCCCUAGUAUCUCAGUGCAGUGGCGUACUAAAGGGGGGGGGCGGAGGGGGCUGUCCGCCCCGGGAGCCAGCAGGGUGGGAGGUGCCAUGACCAGCCCCGCGGCCCCCCCAUGCUGCAGCCGCCUGAGCACUCUGUAGAGAGCCUCAGGCGGCUGCAGCUUUGCCCGGGCGGUGCGUCCAUGAGGGCGGACCGCACCGCCCGGGCGCAACCUGAGGAGAGGCUGACAGGAGGGAAGCGUUCAGCGCUCCCUCCUGUCAGCUUCUUUUGCUGUAGCGUGGCCGAGCCCUGCAGCAUGAUGGUCCGCGGGUACAGAGAGCAGCUGUCUCCUGUACCCGGCCGGACUACAGCAAAGGUAGGGGGGGUGGGCUCGGCCACGCUACAGCAAAGGUAGAGGGGAGGGGGNNNNNNNNNNNNNNNNNNNNNNNNNNNNNNNNNNNNNNNNNNNNNNNNNNNNNNNNNNNNNNNNNNNNNNNNNNNNNNNNNNNNNNNNNNNNNNNNNNNNGCUGUGUGAGCUGUGGCCGCACAGUGUCCCAUGGUAGUUAGGGUGCCGUGCGGCCAGUACAGCUCACACAAGCAAACAGCUGAAAAACUGGCCGCACGGAGGAAAUGUGUAUGUGUGACUGUCUGCCUGUGACUGUGUGUGACUGUCUGCCUGUAACCAGGGCCGGAUUAACAUAGGGGCUGAUGGAGCUGCAGCUCCAGGCCCAGGCCCAGGCCCAUGGAAUUGGCCCAUUGUAAAAAAAAAAUUGUUUUUUACUUUUUUUUUUUUUUUACAGACUACUCUUAGGUUUACCACCUGACUGGUAUUUUAAGGCACAGCUGGUAUUGGAGGCUGCCUGGCCGUGUAUUUUUCUCUGUAUAAACGGAGAUUACUCUGCAAUACCAGCACCGGCCAGUAGGGGCCACUGUGUAAGGAGAGAGGCAGGGAUAGGAAGUUACAGCAUCUCUCUACUCACUGAUCACGGGGGAGCAGCUACACAACACAGAGAAUCCAGACAACAGCUUCCAGUCUGCAGAGACAGACUACAGCUCAGGUAUGUGAAGGAUGGGGGGAAAGGAGACACUAGGGGACACUGAGACACUAGGGGACACUGGGAGAUGUGGGGAAACUGGGAGACAUGGGGACACUGAGACACAUGGGGACACAGACACAUGGUGACGCUGUGAGACAUAGGGAGACACAUUGGGACACGGAGACACUAGGGACACAGUGUCCCCAUGUCUCCCAGCCAGUGUUCCUAGUGUCUCAGUGUCGCCAUGACUCCGGGUGUCCCCUGGUGUCCAAGUAUCUGUGUCACCAUGUCUCUGUAUCCCCAUGUCUCUCAGUGUCCCCAUGUCUCCCAGUGUCCCCAUGUCUCCCAGCCAGUGUCUCAGUGUCCCCAUGUAUUCCAGGGUCCCUAUGUCUCCCAGCCAGUGUCCCUAGUGUCUCAGUGUCCCCAUGUCUCCCAGUGUCUGUGUCCCCAUGUCUCUGUGUCCUUAGUGUCUCCAUGUCUUCCAGUGUCCCCACAUGUCUCAGUGUCCCCAUGUCUCCCAGUGUCCCCAUGUAUAUGUCCACAAGUGCCCCAUGUCUCCCAGUGUCCCCAAGUGUCUGUGUCCCCAUGCCUCCCAGCCAGUGUCCCUAGUGUCUGUGUUCCUAUGUCUCUCAGUGUCCCUAGUGUCUUAGAUUCCCCAAAUGUUUAUCACCAUGGCUCCCAGUAUCCCCUAGUCUCCCAGUAUCUGUGUCCCCAUGUCUCUGUGUCCCCAUGUCUCUCAAUGUCCCCAUGUCUCCCAGUUUCCCCAUGACUCCCAGCCAGUGUCCCUAUGUUUCCCAGCCAUUGUCCCUAGUGUCUGUGUCCCAUGUCUCCCAGGGUCUGUGUCCCCAUGCCUCUAUGUCCUUAGUGUCCCCAUGUCUCCCAUUGUCCCCAAAUGUCUCAGUGUCCCCAUGCCUCUCUGUGUCCCCAAGUGUCUGUGUCCCCAAGUGUCUGUGUCCCCAUGCCUCCCAGCCAGUGUCCCUAGUAUCUAUGUUCCCAUGUCUCUUAGUGUCCCUAUGUCUCUUAGUGUCCCCAUGACUCCCAGCUAGUGUCCCAGAGUCCCCAUGUCUCCCAGUGUCCCUAUGUUUCCCAGCCAGUGUCCCUAGUGUCUCAGUGUCCCCAUGUCUCCCAGUGUCUGUGUCCCCAUGUCUCUGUGUCCUUUGUGUCCCAUGUCUCCCAGUCUCCCCAAGUGUCUGUGUCCCCAUGCCUCCCAGCCAGUGUCCCUAGUGUCUGUGUCCUCCUGUCUCCUAGUGUCUGUGUCCCCAUGUCUGUGUCCCUAGUGUCUGUCUCCUCAUUUCUCCCAGUGUCCCCAAAUGUCUGUGUCCUCGUGUCUCCCAAUGUCCCCAUGUCUGUAUUCACAAGUGCCCCCACAUCUCCGAGUGCCCCCACGUCUCCCAGUGCCCCCACGUCUCCCAGUGUCCCCGGAUCUCUCAGUGUCCCCAUGUCUCUCAGUGUCCCCUAAUAUCCUAGUGACACAGGACACACUGAGACAUGGGGACACUGGGAGAAAUGGGGACACAGACACUGGGAGACUAGGGGACUGGGCGACAUGGGGACAUUGACACUGUGAUGCAUAGGGACACUGAUGCCAGGCUGGCCUUCCAAUUCUUUGGACAGACAUGCCCCCUUUUUGGGCAUGUUCGCACCUUUUGGCAGUUCUGGUCACGUGAUUUGCGUCAGUGGCACACCCUUUUACCCCGCCCAUGGACACUGCUGUUAUGGGGUAUGGAUUUACUUGAAAGAUGAAAGCAUUAAUUAGAUAAAGAGAUUAGCAUAGAGUAUGUGUUUUCUUAUAGCUGCAUCCUUUGAGUUUCCCUCCAACUCCAACUCCAUCAGAUACAUGACUCUUUAGAGGUAUGACUGUUUUAGUGUUUUUGGUCGAUAAAAUUCUGUAAUUAGGCCCCAUCAUAAUUGUCAGAACCAGGCCCACUAGGCUCUUAAUCUGGCCCUGCCUUUAACUGAGUGUGUGACUGUCUGUCUGUAACUGAGUGUGUGACUGUCUGCCUGUAAAUGUGUGUGUGGGGCUGCAGGGAUUUUGUAGAACGGGACGGGGGUUUUGUAUUGGGACAGGAGUCUUUAUAAGGGUGGAUAAGCAGGGGAUUUGUGGAAGGGGGUUGCAGGGGUUUUGUAGAUGGGGCAGUACAGGAUUUGUAGAAGGGGCAGGACAGAGGUUUUGUAGGAGGGGCGGGGCAGGACAAGGGUUUUGUAGAAGGGGCUGACAGCGGUUUUGCAAAGUUUACAAAUUGUAAAACAAAAGAAAGAAAACCUUUAACAUUUUUUAUAGGUUUUUUUUUUUGGGUGGUGGGUGGGGGGGUGGGGGGUGCCAAGCACAGGAUCCGCCCCGGGUGCCAAAUGCUCUAGGUACGCCCCUGUCUCAGUGUCCCCAUUUCUCCCAGCCAGUGUCCCUAGUAUCUGUGUCCCUGGUGUCUCUCAGUGUCCGUAGUGUGCCAGUGUCCCUAGUGUCUCAGUGUUUCCUAGUCUCCCAAAGUCCCCUAGUCUCCCAGUGUCCCCUAGUAUAAAAGAAGAAAACUCAGGCACUCACUGUGAUAGAUUUAAGCAGGUUUAUUGGACACUGCAACGUUUUGACCUGUACACAGGUCUUUAUCAAGUUUCCAGUGUCCCCUAUAUAUCACAAUGUCCCCUAUGUAUCACAGUGUCUCAGUGCCACAUGUCUCCCAGUGUGCCUGGUGUCUCUCAGUGUCCGUAGUGUCUCAGUACCCCCUAACCUCCCAGAGUCCCCAUGUCUUACAGUGCCGCCAAGUGUCUCAGUGUCCAUUAGUAUAAAAUAAAAAAAUCUCAGGCACUCACUGUAAUAGAUUUAAGCAGGUUUAUUGGACACCACAACAUUUUGACGUGUAUGCAGGUCUUUAUCAAUUCUCCAGUGUCCCCUAUAUAUGACAGUGUCUCAGUGCCACAUGUCUCUCAGUGUGUGUAGUGUCCUUAGUGUCUCAGUGUCCCCUAGUCUCCCAGAGUCCCCAUGUCUUACAGUGCCGCCAAGUGUCUCAGUGUCCACUAGUAUAAAAUAAAAAAUUCUCAGGCACUCACUGUGAUAGAUUUAAGCAGGUUUAUUGGACACCUCAACGUUUUGACCUGUACCCAGGUCUUUAUCAAGUCUCCUGUGUCCCCUAUAUAUCACAGUGUCCCCAUGUCUCCCAGUGUCCCCAAGUGUCUGUGUCCUCAGGUCUCCCAGUGUUCCCUAGUAUCUGUAUCCCCAUGUCUCCCAGUGUUCUAAUGUCUCUCAAUGUCCCCUAGUGACAUGGGGACACUGGAAGACAUGGGGAUACAGACACUAAGGGACUGGGAGACAUGGGGACACAGACAUGCCCCCUUUUUGGGUAUGUUUGCCCCUUUCGGCAGUUCUAGUUAUGUGAUUUGCGUCAGUGGCCCACCCUUUUAACCUGUCCAUAGACUUCCUGCAUUACUGGACACUGCUGUUAGUGUGUAUGGAUUUAUUUGAAAGAUGAAAGUGUGAGAUUAGCAUAGGGUAUGUGUUUUCGUAUAGCCGCAUCCUAUGAGUUUCCCUCCAGCACCAUCUCCGCCAGAUACAUGACACUUAGGAGGUAGGACUGUUUUAGUGUUUUUGGUCAAUAAGAUUUUGUAAUUAGGCCCAUCAUAACUGUCAGCACCAGGCCCACUGUGCUCUUAAUCUGGCCCUGACCACAGUGAACGCAGAAAUAAUGUAUAGUGGUUUGGGUAAAAAAGAAAGUGUUACUUUUCUGGAAGUAAUAGAUCCACUUUAACUCAAUCAGAGUUAUUCAUUAAACUGGGAAUUACACCAAAAUUCAAUAAAUGGAAAUUGCACGUUAGGCCGACAUAACUGAUGAUUUCCUAACUACAACUGAUGUUCCAGCUCAGAUAAAAUGCUGGUUCUCCAUGUUUUCUGGUUAGUGUAAUAAUCCGAUCAGUGUCUAUAACCUGAAACGUGCGUGCGAGCGUGUGAGUGAUAUGGAAUGUUACACCAUGGUAUAGAUUACUGUGGGUCCAUUAGUGUCUGUAUAUUCGGAACAUCCUGUAAUGGUAUCUACCACCAAGGGACAUUAAAAGGACAUUAACAUAUAUGAGUGUAAAAGGGCAAUUUACAUAAUUUCUCUAAUAGAUUUCAUUUCAAAGCAGAACAUUAAAGGGAUAAAUUAUUGUGCGCUGUGCUCAGGGAGGCUGUGGAGUUCAGUACAGAUUUGGAAAGAUACUGAGUUCAGUUGAGUUCCAGGAAGCUGUUGAUCCAAUGAAGCAUUAUAAAGCACUGAGUUCAUGAGAUGCGUUAUAAAGCUCUGUGCAGUGGGAGGCUUAAUAGGCAGUCAUAGCUACUGCAUUUUGGUUCCAAAUGCUCUCCUUUUGGUCUCACCUUGGCAGGCCAGUUCAUACUUACAGUGACAGGAUAAUACAGGGUGUUUUAAUCGCAGGGCAUGGUGAAUUAAAGGACUCUAUAGUCACCAAAACAACUUUAGCUUAAUGAAGUAGAUUUUGUGUGUAGAUCAUGCUUCUGAAGUCUCACUGAUCAAUUCUCAUUUAGUCAUUUAGGAGUUAUAUCAGUUUUGCCAUUUAGUAAUUAAUUUUCUCAACCUGCAUGAAAAAAAAAGAGAGAGAUUAGAAAUUCUAAAUAAAACAGACUGUGCCAUAAAGGAAGUGUAAACUUUAGAUGUCAGUUUACAGGCAGUGCUUAGGAAAUGUUUUCUGGUUAAAAUCCUGAUAUAUUUUUUUUUGCUGACAAGUAACAUCAAUUUUCUUUUUAUAAAUUUCUUUAGGAUUUUAGACAUUCAUCGGGUAUUUAGAAACCUUGAAAAUGCCACGGGAUCCACAUAUACUGAUCCUCAAGUGUCCAGUUUUAACCUAAACUGCAGCUCUCAUUACAGUUCAUCUAAUCUCUUAGGCCUGGAGAUCAUCAUUACCUUGACCUAUGGACAAUGAAGAGACAAUGAGAUAUAUUUAGCAGGAACACAAUUCAUUCCACUGGGAACAACGGUGAGACAAGAUUAUUUGCACCAAUUACUUGUUUACAUUGUUACUCAACAAGAAGAUUGCAGGAGAACGUGUUUUCAUGAAAUACUCCACCAACAUUUUGUCUGACUGUAAAACCUCACAUUAUUGGACCUACCUUUUGUUGGGACACAUACCUCCUGCAAUGGGUGCUAGUUUAUCGAUUGGAGCAGUGGUGGCCAUUUCAUUUAACUGUGUUAUAGCCCUGCUUAUCAUUAUCUUAUUCCUCAUCUUAUGUAAGGCUUGUAAGACACCAUCCUGUCCUAGCUCAAGUCCAUCAUCAGAAAUGGAAAAUAAGAAUGAAGAGAAGUAUCUCUUGCAGCCGUAAGCCAAGGUAUCCUCUGUAAUAAAUAGGACUUAGAGUGCACUAACCAUUAACAGGCAACUCUAGAGGAAACAGAGUCCCAAUCUCCAGAAUAGGUUCCUAUCCCCCCUACCCCUCCCAGGUAUCACUGUGUCCCAAUACAAACAGACGUGCAGCAUCCGGGUGGAAUUACACUUCUAGCUCUCCACUUUUCUUUUUCAUCCAUCCUCUGUGAUGUUUAUGAUGCCAAUUGUUAGAAAAACCAAAUAAAUGGGAACAGAUUAACUUUCCUGCAGCACAUUAAUGGUAGUACAAAUGUAAUAAUAAGUUAUGAGAAACGCUUGGAGCAAAAGCAAGGCUGAAGCUCAUAUUGUUUGUUUUUCAAAUAACAAAAAAUGCAAAAGUUAUCUCGUAAUCUAUCUCAGUUAUGUCUUCCUUUCUUCAACCUCCAGUGGCUUAAAAUCUAGUCUGGAAAAGUUGGAUGAAAACAAAGUAUAUCUAGAACUAUGUUUGGAGGACAGAGAAAGGACAGUCGCUGCACUGUCAGACUGGGUCUGUGCUCAGUGUGGGUGACCUUGAAUAAACGCUGUAGAGCAAAACGGAAUGAAAGUGAGAAUGUUGGCUCCCAAAGUGAUGUCCUUUGGGAGAUGUGCAUUUUGUCCUUCUUCCAGAAGAGCCUGGAACAUUUGUUUCCUGCUUUCUACACCAAUCCCUUAACAGGUAACUACCGGAUAGCUUCCUCAGGAGGGUCUAGUGACAGUACCUUAAGAUUUCGGUAACACACCUUAGGAAAGGGACACAGGUCUUUGUGCACACCUAAGAAUUACUGUUUUUUCAGACUUCAAGUCCUGGGAGGUCUAACCUCUUGAAUUCAUGUAUGAAGGUACAACAUCCUCAUUGAUUAGAUGAAGUCUGAUAUUACAGAAGGCUCUAAAUUUUCUUGAACCAUUGGCAAGUAGAGAGUCAUUCCAGAUUAGCAUACUAUAGCUUGAGAUGGCAAAUAACUUUUAAGGCCUGACUAGUAGCAUAGGACCGUAAAUGUUAAGCCCUGAUAAAAUUUAUCUAUUCUACAGGAUUCAUUGUAGCAAAUUUACUUCCAAUUUAAAGUUGACCAAGACGAUGUCUCUGUAUUUGAAAGCUAACGAACACAGUAUUCUUCACUGCACUGUAUGUAUGCAGGUGUCCAGAAUCACAAGGAAGAUUAUAGCAAAGUGUAGACUAUGGUAGCCUUUGUCCUGUGGAAGAUAAAUGUGAUUCAGAAAAGCAAUAAUAUGGAAAUGUGGUUUAUACCUGUUUGGUGGGGAACCGCCUCUGUCACUGCUCUGUUCUUCACGUUAUUUUAGCACAAAAACUAAAUGUCUUCUAAAAUGGUCUGUAUAUGCAGGGAUCGCCAUUUUUUAAAAUCAAUGUUCAGGUAUUAUUCUAUACUGUGUGAUUACUCCUGUGCCAGUUAUUUUAAAUGCAUUGAACACUCAUAUAAUGACAUAUACACUGAUCAACCACAACAUUAAAUCACUGACAGGUGAUGUGAAUAAUAUAGGGGUAAUAGCUGAAGUAGAAGUGUGAUAUAUUAGCAAGUGACCAGUCAGUUCUUGAAUUUCAUGUGCUGGAAGCAGGAAAAAUGGGCAAGCGAAAAUAUCUUAGUGACUGUGACAAGGGCCAAAAAGUGAUGGCUAGAAAACUGGGUUAGAAUAUCUCCAAAAAGAAAGUCUUGUGGAGUGUUUCCAGUCUGCGGUGGUUAGUUCCUUUCAAAAGUGGCGCAAGGAAGGAUAACCGGUGAACUGGUGUCAGGGUCAUCUACGCCCAAGGCUCAUUGAUGCACAUUAGGAAUAAAGACCAGCUGCCUGGUCCGAUCACACAGAAGUUCUUUAGCUAAAAAUGCUGAAAGCCUUAAUGCCUGCCAUGAUAAAAAGUUGUCCGAACACUCAGUACAUCGCAUGUUUGCUUAGUAUAGGGCUGCAUAGCAGCGGAUGGGUCAGAGUGCCCAUGAUGACUCCUGCUCAUCACUGAAACCGCCAUAAAUGAGAACGCGAGCAUCAGAACUGGACCAUGGAAAAAGGUUGCCUGGUCUGAUAACUCUGAUAAAUUUUCUUUUAGAUCAAGUGGGUGGCUGGGUGCGUAUGCGAUGUUUACCUGGGGAAGAGAGGGCAGCAGGAAGGGCUAUGGGAAGAAGGCAGGCCAGCAGAGACAAUGUUAUGCUCUGGGAAACUUUGGGUCCUGGUAUUCAUGCCGAUGUUACCUUGACAUUUACCACCUACCUAGAGAUUGUUACUGACCACGUACUUCAUGGCAAUGGUGUUCCUUGAUGGCCUCUUUCAGCUCAAUAAUGCACCCUGCCACAUUGCACACAUUGUUCUGGUAAGGUUUGAAGAACAUGAGAAAGAGUUCAAGGUUUUGCCUUGGCCUCCAAAUUCUCAAUUCAAUUGAGCAUCUGUGGGUGUGUUGGAACAACCAACCUGCAACUGGCAGGACUUAAAGGAUCUGCUGCUAAUGUCUUGGUGCCAGAUACCACAGGACACGUUCAGAGGUCUUAAUGAGUCCAUGUUUCAACGCAUCAAAGCUGUUUUGGCAGCAUAAGGGGACCUACACGAUGUCAGGCAGGUGGUUUUAUGUUAUGGCUGAUCAGUGUAUGUUCAGAAUUUUGUAGCAUGAAAAGACACCACAAUUACUAUUAAAUCACUCUAGAACAUUCUAUCAACAGAAAUGUGUGCGUUUUAUAGACUAAUACUCUGCACCUUAAACAGAUCAGACUGUGUAUACUCUGAUCGUGUCUUACACUUUUUAUCAUGUAAUAAUUCUUUAAUAAAUUGACUUGAAACAUGUCCUGAAUUUUGAUGAGUUUGUAUGUUGAGUGUAAUUGUAAAAUUGUACAUUUAUUAAAAAU
rnacentral:lncRNA from 1 species